rnacentral:rRNA from 1 species
ACGAACGUUGGCGGCGUGGAUUAGGCAUGCAAGUCGAGCGAAUCCCCGCAAGGGGGGAAGCGGCGGAAAGGGGCAGUAAGGCGUGGGUAACCUACCCCGGGGACUGGUAUAGCCCUUCGAGAGAAGGGGUAAUCCCGGGCGACGUGUCGAGGGGGGCAUCCCCCUUGCCACCAAAUGAGUUUCGCCCUGGGAGGGGCCCACGUGGUAUUAGCUAGUUGGUGGGUAAACGGCCCACCAAAGGCGAAGAUGCCUAGCGGGUGUGAGAGCACGACCCGCGCCACUGGCACUGAGACACUGGGCCCAGACACCUACGGGUGGCUGCAGUCGAGGAUCUUCGGCAAUGGGGCGCAAGCCUGACCGAGCGACCGCCGCGUGGGCGGAUGAAGGCCUUCGGGUUGUAAAGCCCUGUCGAGGGGGAGAAAAGUGGAAACUUGAUCUAUCCCUGGAGGAAGCACGGGCUAAGUUCGUGCCAGCAGCCGCGGGUAAGACGAACCGUGCGAAACGUUGUUCGGAAUCACUGGGCUUAAAGGGCGCGUAGGCGGGCCGCCAAGUCCGCGGUGAAAUCCCCCGGCUCAACCGGGGAACUGCCGCGGAUACUGGAGGUCUCGAGGGGGGGUAGGGGGCAUGCGGAACUGCGGGUGGAGCGGUGAAAUGCGUUGAUAUCCGCAGGAACUCCGGUGGCGAAGGCGGCCGUGCUGGACCCCUUCUGACGCUGAGGCGCGAAAGCCAGGGGAGCGAACGGGAUUAGAUACCCCGGUAGUCCUGGCCCUAAACGAUGGGAACUAGGUUUGUAGGCUAGACAUGGGCUUACAGCCGAAGCAAAAGUGCUAAGUUCCCCGCCUGGGGAGUAUGGUCGCAAGGCUGAAACUCAAAGGAAUUGACGGGGGCUCACACAAGCGGUGGAGCAUGUGGCUUAAUUCGAGGCUACGCGAAGAACCUUAUCCCGGACCUUGACAUGUGCGAAAGCGCCAGGAGGUAGAACCCGGAAACGGGAAACGAACGGUAUCCAAUCCGGAACCUGGUACAGGUGCUGCAUGGCUGUCGUCAGCUCGUGUUCGUGAGAUGUCGGGUUAAGUCCCAUAACGAGCGAAAACCCUUACCCUCAGUUGCCAGCGGGUCAUGCCGGGGACUCUGGGGGACUGCCGGUGUCAAACCGGAGGAAGGUGGGGAUGACGUCCAAGUCCUCAUGGCCUUUAUGUUCGGGGCUGCACAACGUGCUACAAAUGGCGUGAACAAAAGGGACGCAAGCCCGCGAGGGGGAAGCCAAUCCCCAAAAAACACGCCCCAGUUCAGAUCGCAGGCUGCAACUCGCCCUGCGUGAAGUCGGAAUCGCUAGUAAAUCGCGGGUCAGCAACACCGCGGUGAAUGUGUUCCUGAGCCUUGUACACACCGCCCGUCAAGCCACGAAAGGGUGGAGUGCCCGAAGUCGCCUUUUACCGGCGCCGAAGGCAAAACACCCUGAUUGGGACU